rnacentral:rRNA from 1 species
UACGUAGGGGGCGAGCGUUGUCCGGAUUUAUUGGGCGUAAAGAGCUCGUAGGCGGUUGGGUAAGUCGGGUGUGAAAACUCAGGGCUCAACUCUGAGACGCCACUCGAUACUGCUCUGACUCGAGUCCGGUAGGGGAGUAUGGAAUUCCCGGUGUAGCGGUGAAAUGCGCAGAUAUCGGGAAGGAACACCAGUGGCGAAGGCGGUACUCUGGGCCGGAACUGACGCUGAGGAGCGAAAGCGUGGGUAGCAAACAGG